rnacentral:rRNA from 1 species
UACAGAGGUCUCAAGCGUUGUUCGGAUUCAUUGGGCGUAAAGGGUGCGUAGGUGGCGCUGUAAGUCGGGUGUGAAAUUUCGGAGCUUAACUCCGAAACUGCAUUCGAUACUGCGGUGCUUGAGGACUGGAGAGGAGACUGGAAUUCAUGGUGUAGCAGUGAAAUGCGUAGAGAUCAUGAGGAACACCGGUGGCGAAGGCGGCUUUCUGGGCCUUACCUGACGCUGAGGAGCGAAAGCUGGGGGAGCAAACAGG